CUGGCGGCGUGCUUAACACAUGCAAGUCGAACGGAAAGGCCCUGCUUUUGUGGGGUGCUCGAGUGGCGAACGGGUGAGUAACACGUGAGUAACCUGCCCUUGACUUUGGGAUAACUUCAGGAAACUGGGGCUAAUACCGGAUAGGAGCUCCUGCUGCAUGGUGGGGGUUGGAAAGUUUCGGCGGUUGGGGAUGGACUCGCGGCUUAUCAGCUUGUUGGUGGGGUAGUGGCUUACCAAGGCUUUGACGGGUAGCCGGCCUGAGAGGGUGACCGGCCACAUUGGGACUGAGAUACGGCCCAGACUCCUACGGGAGGCAGCAGUGGGGAAUAUUGCACAAUGGGCGGAAGCCUGAUGCAGCAACGCCGCGUGCGGGAUGACGGCCUUCGGGUUGUAAACCGCUUUCGCCUGUGACGAAGCGUGAGUGACGGUAAUGGGUAAAGAAGCACCGGCUAACUACGUGCCAGCAGCCGCGGUGAUACGUAGGGUGCGAGCGUUGUCCGGAUUUAUUGGGCGUAAAGGGCUCGUAGGUGGUUGAUCGCGUCGGAAGUGUAAUCUUGGGGCUUAACCCUGAGCGUGCUUUCGAUACGGGUUGACUUGAGGAAGGUAGGGGAGAAUGGAAUUCCUGGUGGAGCGGUGGAAUGCGCAGAUAUCAGGAGGAACACCAGUGGCGAAGGCGGUUCUCUGGGCCUUUCCUGACGCUGAGGAGCGAAAGCGUGGGGAGCGAACAGGCUUAGAUAUCCUGGUAGUCCACGCUGUAAACGGUGGGUACUAGGUGUGGGGUCCAUUCCACGGGUUCCGUGCCGUAGCUAACGCUUUAAGUACCCCGCCUGGGGAGUACGGCCGCAAGGCUAAAACUCAAAGGAAUUGACGGGGCCCCGCACAAGCGGCGGAGCAUGCGGAUUAAUUCGAUGCAACGCGUAGAACCUUACCUGGGUUUGACAUGGAUCGGGAGUGCUCAGAGAUGGGUGUGCCUCUUUUGGGGUCGGUUCACAGGUGGUGCAUGGCUGUCGUCAGCUCGUGUCGUGAGAUGUUGGGUUAAGUCCCGCAACGAGCGCAACCCUUGUUCACUGUUGCCAGCACGUUAUGGUGGGGACUCAGUGGAGACCGCCGGGGUCAACUCGGAGGAAGGUGGGGAUGACGUCAAGUCAUCAUGCCCCUUAUGUCCAGGGCUUCACGCAUGCUACAAUGGCUGGUACAGAGAGUGGCGAGCCUGUGAGGGUGAGCGAAUCUCGGAAAGCCGGUCUCAGUUCGGAUUGGGGUCUGCAACUCGACCUCAUGAAGUCGGAGUCGCUAGUAAUCGCAGAUCAGCAACGCUGCGGUGAAUACGUUCCCGGGGCUUGUACACACCGCCCGUCAAGUCAUGAAAGUUGGUAACACCCGAAGCCGGUGGCCUAACCGUUGUGGGGGAGCCGUCGAAGGUGGGACUGGA
rnacentral:rRNA from 1 species